AUCUUUUUAGUAUUAAGCUAGUAUAAGUGACUUCCAAUCACCAGGACCUGGUUAAAACCCAGGAAAAGAUA
rnacentral:tRNA from 1 species